rnacentral:rRNA from 1 species
UAGCCGUACCGGAACGGUGUGGCUAGGAUCACCUCCUGUUUUAGGGAGACCUACUUCG